GAGGAGAAUCAUUCGCAAUGGGCGAAAGCCUGACGGUGCGACGCCGCGUGAGGGAUGAAGGCCUUCGGGUUGUAAACCUCUGUCAGGGGUAGGGAACGGCGAGGGCGUUAACACCGCCUUCGCGUGACUAAGGCCCCAAAGGAAGCUCCGGCUAACUACGUGCCAGCAGCCGCGGUAAUACGUAGGGAGCUAGCGUUACUCGGAAUCACUGGGCAUAAAGGGCGCGUAGGCGGGUUCGUAAGUCCGGUGUGAAAUCCCUCGGCUCAACUGGGGAAAGCCAUCGGAUACUGCGGAUCUUGAGUGUGGGAGGGGAGAGUGGAACUCCUGGUGGAGCGGUGAAAUGCGUAGAUAUCAGGAGGAACGCCGGUGGCGAAAGCGGCUCUCUGGCCCACUUCUGACGCUGAGGCGCGAAAGCUAGGGGAGCAAACGGGAUUAGAAACCCCUGUAGUCC
rnacentral:rRNA from 1 species